AUGAUAUACCAACCACCUAAUUCUCCCGACACAAACAUAUUAGAUCUUGGUUGGUUUGCCUCAAUUCAAGCCAUGUUCCAUAGAAAGAUGCCCAAGACCCUAGCCGAGAUUGUCCAAAAGGUUAAUCAAUCCCUAGCUGAGUACCCCCAUCAAAAGCUCAACAGGAUCUGGUUGAGUCAUCAAGCGUGCAUGAGAGAGAUCAUCAAGCACAAAGGGUCUAUCCACUACGCAGUUCCUCACUUGAAGAAAAAAGCAUUAGAGAGACAAGGACUUCUCUCGGUUCGUUUGACGAUUGAUCUAGAAUAUGUUGAGCAAGCAAUUGAGUUCUUGAACUCAACAUGA
rnacentral:rRNA from 1 species